GGACUACUAGGGUAUCUAAUCCUGUUUGAUCCCCUUGCUUUCGCGCCUCAGCGUCAGGAAUAAGAUAGAAAACCGCCUUCGCCACCGGUGUUCUUCCACAUAUCUACGCAUUUCACCGCUACUUGUGGAAUUCCGUUUUCUCCUCCUACCCUCUAGGGAUGCAGUUUCAAAUGCUGUUCUGAGGUUGAGCCCCAGGAUUUCACAUCUGACUUACAUCUCCGCCUACGCGCCCUUUACGCCCAAUAAAUCCGAUUAAUGCUUGCACCCUCCGUAUUACCGCGGCUGCUGGCAC
rnacentral:rRNA from 1 species